rnacentral:rRNA from 1 species
UACGAAGGGGGCUAGCGUUGUUCGGAAUUACUGGGCGUAAAGCGCACGUAGGCGGCGCAGCAAGUUAGAUGUGAAAUGCCUGGGCUUAACCUAGGAACUGCAUUUAAGACUGCUGUGCUAGAGACCGGGAGAGGGUGGCGGAAUUCCCAGUGUAGAGGUGAAAUGCGCAGAUAUCAGGAGGAACACCGGUGGCGAAGGCGGGUCUCUGGGCAACAACUGACGUUGAGGAGCGAAAGCGUGGGGAGCGAACAGG